rnacentral:rRNA from 1 species
GAUGAACGCUAGCUACAGGCUUAACACAUGCAAGUCGAGGGGCAGCGGUAUCGAAAGCUUGCUUUCGGUAGCCGGCGACCGGCGCACGGGUGAGUAACGCGUAUCGAACCUGCCUCAUACUCGGGAAUAGCCUUGCGAAAGUAAGAUUAAUGCCCGGUGUUUUCAGAGUCCCGCAUGAGGCUUUGAACAAAGAUUUAUCGGUAUGAGAUGGCGAUGCGUCCCAUUAGCUUGUUGGCGGGGUAACGGCCCACCAAGGCAUCGAUGGGUAGGGGUUCUGAGAGGAAGGUCCCCCACAUUGGAACUGAGACACGGUCCAAACUCCUACGGGAGGCAGCAGUGAGGAAUAUUGGUCAAUGGGCGGAAGCCUGAACCAGCCAAGUAGCGUGCAGGAAGACGGCCCUCCGGGUUGUAAACUGCUUUUAGUUGGGAAUAAAACGGGGCUCGUGAGCCCCCUUGCAUGUACCAUCAGAAAAAGAACCGGCUAAUUCCGUG